rnacentral:rRNA from 1 species
GUUAGGAAUAUUGGACAAUGGGCGAAAGCCUGAUCCAGCCAUGCCGCGUGAACGAUGAAGGCCCUCGGGUUGUAAACUGCUUUUGUACGGAACGAAAAGCCUGGGGCUAAUAUCCCCGGGUCAUGACGGUACCGUAAGAAUAAGCACCGGCUAACUACGUGCCAGCAGCCGCGGUAAUACGUAGGGUGCAAGCGUUAAUCGGAAUUACUGGGCGUAAAGCGUGCGCAGGCGGUUUUGUAAGACAGUGGUGAAAUCCCCGGGCUCAACCUGGGAACUGCCAUUGUGACUGCAAGGCUAGAGUGCGGCAGAGGGGGAUGGAAUUCCGCGUGUAGCAGUGAAAUGCGUAGAUAUGCGGAGGAACACCGAUGGCGAAGGCAAUCCCCUGGGCCUGCACUGACGCUCAUGCACGAAAGCGUGGGGAGCAAACAGGAUUAGAUACCCCAGUAGUCC